rnacentral:tRNA from 1 species
GGGGCUGUAGCUCAGCUUGGGAGAGCACUUGUCUGGCAGACAAGGGGCCGUGGGUUCGAGUCCCAUCAGCUCCACCA